rnacentral:rRNA from 1 species
AUUGAACGCUGGCGGCAUGCUUUACACAUGCAAGUCGAACGGUAACAGGCCGCAAGGUGCUGACGAGUGGCGAACGGGUGAGUAAUGCAUCGGAACGUGCCCAGUCGUGGGGGAUAACGCAGCGAAAGCUGCGCUAAUACCGCAUACGAUCUAUGGAUGAAAGCGGGGGACCGUAAGGCCUCGCGCGAUUGGAGCGGCCGAUGUCAGAUUAGGUAGUUGGUGGGGUAAAGGCUCACCAAGCCAACGAUCUGUAGCGGGUCUGAGAGGACGAACAGCCACACUGGGGCUGAGACACGGCCCAGACUCCUACGGGAGGCAGCAGUGGGGAAUUUUGGACAAUGGGCGCAAGCCUGAUCCAGCAAUGCCGCGUGCAGGAAGAAGGCCUUCGGGUUGUAAACUGCUUUUGUACGGAACGAAACGGUCCUGGUUAAUACCUGGGGCUCAUGACGGUACUGUAAGAAUAAGCACCGGCUAACUACGUGCCAGCCGCCGCAGUAAAAC